UGCUGUAGAAAGAUCAGUCUGCCACUG
rnacentral:piRNA from 1 species